ensembl:lncRNA
CUUGUAAGUCUUUGUCCAUAUUUUUUGCUGUAGCAAAAAUUGUUGAUGUUACCCUUAACACUUUUCUCCUUAACAGGAUGCAAUGGAUAACACAGCAGAAGUUCACCUGGAUUCUGUAUACUUUAGGGCAGGUGCUGGUCAUAACCCUCAGGACAUUCCUUCUACAGUCAGCCCCUUCCUUCAGGGCACCCAGAGCAGUUUCCACCUCUCUCAGGUACUUCAGGAAUCACAUAAUAAAACCGAACAAGCGAUCGACCUGGGCCACACUGUGGAUCUUGGUGCCCUGGGCAUGCGUGGUGGCCCUUGUGGGGAUUCUCCAGUUCUCAAUGAACAGCAGAGCACCAGCAGUAAAGAUGAUCAACCUGGAGAGUCUCUGGAUGCUAGGUACCUUUGCCAGAGCUUUGAUGAGAAUCAUGAGGAACAUAAUGAUAUUUGGAAUCACCAGCCAGACAAUUUGGAGCUUGAGUUACAGCAAGGCGCAAAUGCCACUCACAGUGUGGUCUACCAGAAUGAAGAGGGAAAGUGGGUCACUGAUUUGGCCUAUUACUCUUCCUUCGAGAAGGAAUUGGAGGCCAAUAUGCCUGAGGAAGUUGCUAUGCAGUUUCAGUCUGAAGAUUUUCUUGCUGGAAGUAAGUGAAAUGUUCUCAUUCUUAAUGAAAAUUUGAUUUUGGGUGUACCAUUUCUCAAUUGAAUCAACCUCGUGUUGACUUUCUUCUGCAGAACAUGCAAAAAUGGUGCAUUUUUGAAGAUUGUCACUUUUUUCAAUUUAAUGAAAGUGAAUGCAGAAUAAAAAAUAUUCUAUAGUUCAAUCGGCAGAGCAUGUCACAAGCAAUACCAAUGCAUUGUAAUUAAGGGGUGCAACGGUUUCGGUUCGGUUCGGUAUGUGCUAUGUUUAGGGAAAAAACUAUUGUCAAAUAAAAUAAGAAUAAAUAAUCUAACUACAAGCAACAGCACAAAUAAAUACAAUAGAGCAAAGAUACAAAUAAAAUAAACAGUGAUUUCAUGUUUUUUAGGUAGGUCUACGCCGUGCAGCGUUUGGCAGCGGAAAAAAUAAUCCUACAUUUAAAAAAAAAAAAAAAAACUUUAUCACUUUCGAGUAGGGUUAUGACGGUGAGGAAAUUUUCCCACCGGUUAAUCGACGUGUGACAACA